AUUGAACGCUGGCGGCAGGCUUAACACAUGCAAGUCGAGCGGGGGAAGGUAGCUUGCUACCGGACCUAGCGGCGGACGGGUGAGUAAUGCUUAGGAAUCUGCCUAUUAGUGGGGGACAACAUCCCGAAAGGGAUGCUAAUACCGCAUACGUCCUACGGGAGAAAGCAGGGGAUCUUCGGACCUUGCGCUAAUAGAUGAGCCUAAGUCGGAUUAGCUAGUUGGUGGGGUAAAGGCCUACCAAGGCGACGAUCUGUAGCGGGUCUGAGAGGAUGAUCCGCCACGCUGGGACUGAGACACGGCCCAGACUCCUACGGGAGGCAGCAGUGGGGAAUAUUGGACAAUGGGGGGAACCCUGAUCCAGCCAUGCCGCGUGUGUGAAGAAGGCCUUAUGGUUGUAAAGCACUUUAAGCGAGGAGGAGGCUACUCUAGUUAAUACCUAGGGAUAGUGGACGUUACUCGCAGAAUAAGCACCGGCUAACUCUGUGCCAGCAGCCGCCGUAA
rnacentral:rRNA from 1 species